UGGUUUGGAGGGAGAGAUAGGGUAAAAGGUGAGGUUUGGGGUCAGAGCCUAGGGUCGUUCCAACUUCACAUAUUUCACUUCCAAAACCUCGGUCACUCCCCAGCUCUCACACAAAUUCACUCACUGACACGCACACAUGGAGACUAUUCACGUGGACACGCACACACACUUUCACACCGACACAGCAAAGCGCAACCACACGAGAAUUAGAGAGACAAAACGAACGCAAUUUUUGCGUGCACACUCGGGCACACACUUGGACUCACUCACGCACCCACCCAGAGCCUCUGAGUCACGAACAAACACGCACGCGCGGGGCUACACACUCGUUCCCCUCCCAGCUUUCUGCUGGAGCAGGGGAACAGGGAAGAUGGCCCGAGAAGGCCUUGGCAUUGCAGUGACCCCCUCCCGCCCCCCGCAUCCGAUUCAAUACGAGGAAGGAGGGUCAGUGGGAAAAGAGCCCCGGGACAACCACCCGCACCCCUACAGGAGUCAAAGGGAAGAGAAGGAAGACAGUUAAUUCUGGGACAAGCAAAAAGAACGGUUUUGGAGUCACGGGGGCGUUCCUGCACAAAGGACUUGGAUGUUGUGUUUUUUCUUCUUUUCUGGCGUUUUCCGUUCCCAGCUUUGAAGUCGGGUUCAGACCUCCUGGAGACCACGGACUGAGCGGAGGGGUGGGGGUAGCAGAACCCAGAAGCCGCGCUGGCCCCUCCUCAAUCGCUCCCACACUCUCACAAGCCCAAGGCCAGUCUGUGUGGACACCGAACGCGCCAAGCCGGAUCCAGGCGAGAGCGGCCACUCGGACAGGUGGGGACCAGGGGUGGGAGAGGGUCCCCUAGGCCUGAGAACACCGACCUCGGGGAAUUUUUUGGGGAGUGGGAGGGAGCCAUACAGGGAGAAAAGCAAAAUAAAAAAAUAGAAGAAAAUUCAGGCGUAGACAUUGAAUUAACUCCGGAUUUUUUCUUUUUUUCGGCGAAAGAGAAAGGGGUUAAACCCAAAUUCGGGUCUGGGUUCUGGGGUUUGGGUAGGAUUCAGUGUAAGCAUAAAAAGCGGGAUGUCAGAUUAAAGUGAAGAAAAAUAAAUAGGGAAUUGUAUGUAGUCCUCUUGCUUCCCGGAGCAGCGAAGUCUAAAAUUCUCAGCUCCAGAGGCCUGUCUGGCUGUGUGAUACAGUCCCAGCGAGGUUUGAAAUUCCGAGGGGGGCCAGUGAAGGCUCCUCUUCCCGUAAUCCGAGCCAAGGGGCCCUGCGUCGGGCUCCCGGACAUCCCCGCGCAGCCCGAAGGCCGCCUGCAAACCCG
rnacentral:lncRNA from 1 species